AUCAUACUCCCUUCGUCCGGAAAUACUUGUCCAAAGAAUGGAUGUAUCUAGAUGUAUUUUAGUUAUAGAUACAUCCAUUUCUAUUCAUUUUUGCGACAAGUAAUUCCGCAUGGAGGGAGUAAUAU
rfam:Hordeum vulgare subsp. vulgare, WGS project CAJW01000000 data, contig: morex_contig_1557975